rnacentral:rRNA from 1 species
CCUACGGGAGGCAGCAGUGGGGAAUCUUGGACAAUGGGCGCAAGCCUGAUCCAGCCAUGCCGCGUGAGUGAUGAAGGCCCUAGGGUCGUAAAGCUCUUUCGCCUGUGAAGAUAAUGACGGUAGCAGGUAAAGAAACCCCGGCUAACUCCGUGCCAGCAGCCGCGGUAAUACGGAGGGGGUUAGCGUUGUUCGGAAUUACUGGGCGUAAAGCGCGCGUAGGCGGAUUAGUAAGUCAGAGGUGAAAUCCCAGGGCUCAACCCUGGAACUGCCUUUGAUACUGCUAGUCUUGAGUUCGAGAGAGGUAAGUGGAAUUCCGAGUGUAGAGGUGAAAUUCGUAGAUAUUCGGAGGAACACCAGUGGCGAAGGCGGCUUACUGGCUCGAUACUGACGCUGAGGUGCGAAAGUGUGGGGAGCAAACAGGAUUAGAUACCCUGGUAGUCCACACCGUAAACGAUGAAUGCCAGUCGUCGGGUAGCAUGCUAUUCGGUGACACACCUAACGGAUUAAGCAUUCCGCCUGGGGAGUACGGUCGCAAGAUUAAAACUCAAAGGAAUUGACGG